rnacentral:rRNA from 1 species
UACAGGGGGGGCAAGCGUUGUUCGGAAUUACUGGGCGUAAAGGGCUCGUAGGCGGCCAACUAAGUCACACGUGAAAUCCCCAGGCUUAACCUGGGAACUGCGUGUGAUACUGGAUGGCUUGAAUCCGGGAGAGGGAUGCGGAAUUCCAGGUGUAGCGGUGAAAUGCGUAGAUAUCUGGAGGAACACCGGUGGCGAAGGGCGGCAUC